UUCCCAGGACGAGUGUGGUGCCCAGUUCCUGAUCCCGGCGGGUUCCCAGGGUCGGAAUCGGGCGGAGGCGUCUCUGGCACGGGCCCAGAGCCUCAAUCCCAUGGUGGAGGUCAAGGCUGAUCCCGACAGCGUCGACUCCAAACCUCAGGAAUUCUUCACCCAGUUUGAUGCGGUGUGCCUGACGUGCUGCUCCCGGGAAUCCAUGGUGAGGAUCGACCAGAUCUGCCACAAGAACGGGGUCAAGUUCUUCACCGGGGACGUUUUUGGCUACCACGGCUUCAUGUUCGCCAACCUGGGCCACCACGAGUUCGUCGAGGAGAAGCCCAAG